ACACAUCUAACCACUCUUCAGCUGAUAUCCACUUGCUGACAAAUGAAUCUCUCUGGCCCCUGGACUGUGCCCUGAAACACAGCUUAAAACAAAUGAACAGUAAUCCCAGAGAUCCUGAGAUGAGAAAAGGGUGUUUGACUUAUUCAAAGAAGACCAAGGAAGCCCAAAGACCAGAGAAGAGUGCAGGAAAGGGGCGGCGGUCUGAGAUGCAGUCAGAGCAGUGGCAAGCCCCCAGAGUCUGUGGCAAAGACUUCAGGUUUCAUCCUGAAGAGGAAGACAGGUCUUUGGAGAGUUUUGAUCAAGGAAGUGAGAUGAAAUAUCUUAGGCUUACAAAGAACUACUCUGACAUCUAAAUGGAAAAUGGACUGAUGAAGCAAAAGAAGCCACAAGGAAGCCAGUUCAGAGGCUAUUGAAAUGCUCCAGAGGAACAGCGGUUUAUUGAAAGGAAAGCAAAUGUCCAGAAGCAAAAACAAACAAACAAAAAACAAACAAACAAACAAAAACAGAAAAAACUUCCCCAAAAGUAAAGAAUCACAGCUUUAUUCAGUAGCUCCUCAAUUAAAAUAGUCAUCUUCUUAAUUGUGCCAUCUUCAGAAGCAGCCAUAUAUACUGUAGUUAAGAGGCACAUGGUGAGAAAUUUGGGGUCCAAUCAAGAUGAUAGGAUUCAUCUACAUGGCAGCCCUCAAAGAUUCUGGAAGAGAAAAAUGGUGAAAAGAUACUCAGAGAGUGAGAGCCUUCAGAUUUGGGUGAGUGAUGCCAUUAGAACCAAGAUUUCUUCCAUUCUUCUGCUCUAUCAUUCUCAGCACAACAUGCUUUUCUCAUUAAGGCCGCUGUGGUUCGUCUUCUGCCUGGGAACUGGAUAAAAACAUCAGUGAAUACCCCAAAGAUUUUCAAAAAUGCUUGUUGAUAAAAUGAAGUCAGAAUGUGAGAUGAGCCCUUCCACCUGAGUGAUGUUGGUCUUGGCUGUGUGAUUUGCUUUGGCUGAUGAUAAGUUGAUGGAAGUGAUAGUAAGACAAUGCUGAGCCUCAUCCUCGGAAGUAUCUCUGCCUUCACCUGGCUUUGUGCACCACUGCCCUGGCUUUGAGAAGAACAUGAGCCCAGUAAAUUGUUAGUCCAGGAAGAAUGAGAGAGAAAGUCCUGAGGCAGAGAAGUGGAGAGAAGUUGCUGCUUGAGCUUGAGAAAGAAUGGUGGCAGAGUACAUGCAUGGAAGUGCUACCAUAGCUGCUCUGAAAUCAGAGGAAAGUGGAAUUAUAAGAAGACCCCAUCUGACAAGGCUCAUAAAGGAGAGCAACUCUUAUGGAAUACAUCCAAGAUAUAUACGUCUUUGAAGAAAGACAUCACUCAACUGUGAAAGAUCACCAUGACCCCUGCUUUAAUUUCAUCAAAAAACUUAGUCCAUCAGCUCAGUUACCCUUUAGCCUUGCAUGGGAAUUGACUCAGAGCUUCUGCAAGAUCAGGCCCUAUAUUAGGUAUUGAGGGUUCAGGGAUGAACUAAGCUGAUCUGGUUCCUGCUCUCUAGGCUGUAGAAGAUGGCAAGUGCUGUGGACUUCAAAGAAAAGAUUUCUGAAGUGUCAUGUUAUGACAAUUGUGAUGCUUCAAACUAUGUUGACUAUUCAUUUACAGCAUAAAGAAGAGUGAGCCACUUUAUCACUGCAGUAAUUAUAUUUUAAAAAUAAAGAAAAUAAAACAAAUGGAGUUUCCCACCCAAUCCAUGGAGACACAGACACGAAGUCUUACUAUAGAUGUGUGGCCAAUCCUUACAUUGCUUUUAUUACAAGCCUGGAAAUGACAAUAAAAUACAUGAACUUGAGAGUAUAUA
rnacentral:lncRNA from 1 species